AUUAUUGGUUAUUAAUUUCACACAUAUGUCGACACAGAAGGCUGGGUGCGAUGGGCCAAUUAAGAUACUUUUUUGGUAGGCCUAAAGUUGCUUUCUGGGACGUAUGGAGGCUUAAC
rnacentral:sRNA from 1 species